CUUCCAAGCGGUGCUGAGGACAUUGAGAGCAGGGAGUAUUUCUCGAGCACUUCCUGGUAUUCCCAGUCAUUCCCAUUGUCCAGUGGUAUCACAGCUCUGGUGCAGGGUUGGGCCUGUAGCUGGAUGAGAGAGGUGCCCUGGAGUCCAGAGUCAAAAGAGUACUCUCAGGGUCCUGCAGGCACAGUGUGCGAGCCCAAGAGCGGCCCCUCCCUGAACUUGGCUCCCUGGUGACCAGCCUCUCACUGUUGUCUAGGUGAAUCUAUGGUGAAUCCAGCUCAGAACAAAGAGGAUUGUGUACAGCUGAAUUUUUAGCUGUAAUUGUUAAAUUCCACUGCAGAGGCGGUCUGUAAAGUAAGCAGUCUGAGCCAUUUGGUUUUCAAGAGCCAGAGUAUUGAGAGAGAAAGAUGUGGGGAAAUUCUGCUGACUCAGCUUUGCCCACUAAAGAGGAGAGGCUGGAGAGGCUGAAGGAUGCCAGGAACCAUAGAGCUCUGGAAUAAACGGGUGGCGCAGGGAGAGGUGACUGGAGGGGUCUGGCCAGAGCUUAGGUGAGGGGGUCCAGAAGGUGAGGGCUCAGGUGAUCAGAGCAGCGUGGGCUGCUGUCCUGGGGAGAAGGUGGUAGAAUGCAGCCUCCUGGAGAGGUCGCUCUGGCUCAGCCCUGGGGACGCAGAGAAGGGAUGGCAGAGGGAGGGACAGAGGACAGCCUGCCAACCUUGAUUCUGGAACCAAGAGUAAGGGGUCGUGCAUGUGCCAUGUAGGCCACAGACCCAAAGGAUUUAGAGUCAGGCUGAGGAGGACCUGUGAGACUUCCACUGACCUCAGGUACAGAAGGCGAGAGCUGUCAGCAUGGGACGUCUGUGGCUAGGGGGGCAGCAGAGGCCAGCGGAAGACCCAGGCCAGCACAGGACUGGCUUUGGAUGGCAUGGAAGGACGUGAAGAUCUCAGAGCCCAGGUCACCUCCUGGAGGAGACAAGCUCCAGUGACCACAGAAGUCUGGGAAGGAUCAGGUGGUCUUUAAUUGGCAAAAUGAAGGUUUUUCUGUCUAUGGUAACGCAGUUGUGCUUGGUGAAGAAAACCAUGCAGUCAGCUGUUUCUCUUGUUCCUGGCCAGCAUCCAGCCUGUGAGAGCUCCACCUGCCAUCCCUGGGGAUGCCAGGUUCCCCUCUGGCUCUUUGUUUCGUUCACCCUCCUGCUGACAAAGACCUGAGGAUCCCGUGUUGAGAGGCACAGAGCACGUAUAUUGCCGUUCAGCACUUCCUGUUUUUGAAGCCAGCGGGGAAGCGUGGAGGAGUGUUCCCAGGGCUCUGCCUCCAGAACCCAAAUCCCCCAGACACAGGGAGACACUCCUCCCUGGGGAGUGUCUGUCACCUGUGGGGGUGACAGUGGCCUGAAGGACGUGAUCUGUGCACACAGUCGCUUUCCUGUCUUAGUGUCUCUGAGGACCUGCUGUGCACUUGGGUGUACCUGCCAUGUGACUGUGUUACCACUUACCUCCUUUUGUAAAUCAGAUCAUAAAUUCACUUUGAGAAUUUAUCAUUUAUAAAAGGAACCAGUAGUAAUUCUUUUUGUGUAAUGAAUACUCUUCUCCUAAUGAUCUGAUUUCAAAGUUUACAUUUUUUAACAGGUUGGGUAUUCGUUUCAGUGUCGACUCUUCCCCAAGGCCCAUGGACAUUCUAACAAAAGGCGUUAUUUUCAGAAUCCAAACAUAAAUACAUAAUAACGCUAUGACUUGAAGCAGCAUGAACAAUGGAGGUAGGAAGUGAAGCAGGCUUUCACAGAAACAUGAACUCAUUUUCAUGGCUCCCAGUAUUUCUCAUUACAAGUUAAACUAUUUAAAAUGAUGGCUUAAUAGGCACCACCUGAGAUGUGGGCGGGAUAAUGAGUGUGAGAUGCUGAACUACUGCGUUUCCUGACUUCUUUGUGCGGAAAUUAGUAAAUGCACCGUCCUAGGAAAAAUGGCUUUGCGAGUCUCAUUUUCAUUUUUCCUGUGCCCUCUGCCCAAGUGCUAGACGGGGGAGAGAUGCAUUCUUAGGAGUCAUGUUUUGGAGUAGCUAUGGUGGGCUUCAGGGUGAAGUCUGCACUGACCGAGGGUGUGGCCUAGGUGUGUGUGUGUGUAUGUGUGUAGGUGUGUAUACAUAUAAGUGUGUGUAUAUAUAUAUGUAUAUGUAUACGUGUAUACAUAUAUAUGUGUAUGUGUAUGUAUAGAA